CCUACGGGCGGCUGCAGUGGGGAAUAUUGGGCAAUGGAGGCAACUCUGACCCAGCAACGCCGCGUGAAUGAUGAAGGUCUUCGGAUUGUAAAGUUCUGUGAUGGGGGAUGAACACAAUGACGGUACCCCAAUAGCAAGCCACGGCUAACUACGUGCCAGCCGCCGCGGGAAUACGUAGGGGGCAAGCGUUAUCCGGAAUGACUGGGCGUAAAGGGUGCGUAGGUGGUUUAGUAAGUUGGCGGUGUAAUUCCGGGGCUCAACCUCGGCGCUACCGCCAAAACUAUUAGACUAGAGUGCCGGAGGGGGAAGUGGAAUUCCUAGUGUAGCGGUGAAAUGCGUAGAUAGUAGGAGGAACACCAGUGGCGAAGGCGGCUUACUGGACUGUAACUGACGUUGAGGCUCGAAAGCGUGGGGAGCAAACAGGAUUAGAUACCCCGGUAGUC
rnacentral:rRNA from 1 species